rnacentral:rRNA from 1 species
GAUGAACGCUAGCGGCAGGCCUAAUACAUGCAAGCCGAACGGCAAGUCUUUUAGCAAUAGAAGACCUAGAGUGGCGUAAGGGUGCGUAACGCGUAGGUAAUCUGCCCUGAGGUCUGACAUAACCCGUCGAAAGGCGGGCUAACAUCAGAUGAUAUAUAAUCACGACAUCGUGGAAAUAUCAAAUCUUCGGAGCCUUGGGAUGAGCCUGCGUCUGAUUAGGUAGUUGGCGGAGUAAUAGCCCACCAAGCCUACGAUCAGUAGCUGGUCUGAGAGGAUGAUCAGCCACACUGGAACUGAGACACGGUCCAGACUCCUACGGGAGGCAGCAGUAAGGAAUAUUGCUCAAUGGGGGAAACCCUGAAGCAGCAACGCCGCGUGAAGGAUGAAAUACUUUUGUAUGUAAACUUCUGUAAGAUGGGAAAAAUAUUCUCCUCGGGAGAAUUGAUUGUACCAUCAGAGUAAGCCCCGGCUAACUACGUG